rnacentral:rRNA from 1 species
CCUACGGGGGGCAGCAGUGGGGAAUAUUGGGCAAUGGGCGCAAGCCUGACCCAGCAACGCCGCGUGAAGGAAGAAGGCUUUCGGGUUGUAAACUUCUUUUCUCAGGGACGAAGAAAGUUACGGUACCUGAGGAAUAAGCCACGGCUAACUACGUGCAAGCAGCCGCGGUAAUACGUAGGUGGCAAGCGUUAUCCGGAUUUACGGGGUGUAAAGGGCGUGUAGGCGGGACUGCAAGUCAGAUGUGAAAACCACGGGCUCAACCUGUGGCCUGCAUUUGAUACUGUAGUUCUUGAGUACUGGAGAGGCAGAAGGAAUUCCUAGUGUAGCGGUGAAAUGCGUAGAUAUUAGGAGGAACACCAGUGGCGAAGGCGGUCUGCUGGACAGCAACUGACGCUGAGGCGCGAAAGCGUGGGGAGCAAACAGGAUUAGAUACCCUUGUAGUC